GAUGAACGCUAGCGGCAGGCUUAAUACAUGCAAGGCGAAGGGGCAGCAAUGUCACUGUCGUACGGGUGCGUAACGCGUAUGCAACCUACCUAUCACUGGGGGAUAGCCCGGGGAAACCCGGGUUAAUACCGCAUAAAACAGGGGCACCGCAUGGUGAUAUUUGUUAAAGAUUUAUUGGUGAUAGAUGGGCAUGCGUUCGAUUAGCUAGUUGGCGGGGUAACGGCCCACCAAGGCGACGAUCGAUAGGGGAGCUGAGAGGUUGAUCCCCCACACGGGCACUGAGAUACGGGCCCGACUCCUACGGGAGGCAGCAGUAGGGAAUAUUGGGCAAUGGAUGCAAGUCUGACCCAGCCAUGCCGCGUGCCGGAUGAAGGCCCUCAGGGUUGUAAACGGCUUUUAUUCGGGAAGAAGAGCAGGGAUGCGUCCUUGUGUAACGGUACCGAAUGAAUAAGCACCGGCUAACUCCGUGCCAGCCGCCGCGGUAACAC
rnacentral:rRNA from 1 species